rnacentral:rRNA from 1 species
GAUCCUGGCUCAGAACGAACGCUGGCGGCGCGUUUAAGCAUGCAAGUCGAGCGGCAAGGGCCUUCGGGCCCCUAGAGCGGCGGACGGGUGAGUAACACGUGGACAAUCUGCCCCCCGGCCCGGGAUAGCCCAGGGAAACCUGGAUUAAUACCGGAUGAGACGGGACCCGCGAUGGCGGGAUCCGGGAAAGGCGCUGCGGCGCCGCCGGGGGAUGAGUCUGCGUCCCAUUAGCUAGACGGCGGGGUAACGGCCCACCGUGGCGACGAUGGGUAGCCGGCCUGAGAGGGUGGACGGCCACAUUGGAACUGAGACACGGUCCAGACUCCUACGGGAGGCAGCAGCUAAGAAUCUUCCGCAAUGGGCGAAAGCCUGACGGAAGCGACGCCGCGUGAACGAAGAAGGCCGUGAGGUUGUAAAGUUCUUUUCGGGAGGGGAACAACCGUGGCAGGGAAUGGCCGCGGGAUGACGUGAAUCCCGGAAUAAGCCCCGGCUAACUACGUGCCAGCCGCCGC